rnacentral:rRNA from 2 species
CCCGGAUUAAUACCGCAUACGUCCUACGGGAGAAAGCAGGGGAUCUUCAGACCUUGCGCUAUUGGAUGAGCCUAAGUCGGAUUAGCUAGUUGGUGGGGUAAAGGCCUACCAAGGCGACGAUCCGUAGCUGGUCUGAGAGGAUGAUCAGCCACAUCGGGACUGAGACACGGCCCGAACUCCUACGGGAGGCAGCAGUGGGGAAUAUUGGACAAUGGGGGCAACCCUGAUCCGGCCAUGCCGCGUGUGUGAAGAAGGCUUUCGGGUUGUAAAGCACUUUCAGUACGGAGGAAAACCUUAUGGUUAAUACCCAUGAGGCUUGACGUUACCUACAGAAGAAGCACCGGCUAACUCCGUGCCAGCAGCCGCGGUAAUACGGAGGGUGCAAGCGUUAAUCGGAAUUACUGGGCGUAAAGCGCGCGUAGGUGGUUUGGUAAGCGAGAUGUGAAAGCCCCGGGCUUAACCUGGGAACGGCAUUUCGAACUGUCAGACUAGAGUGUGGUAGAGGGUAGUGGAAUUUCCUGUGUAGCGGUGAAAUGCGUAGAUAUAGGAAGGAACACCAGUGGCGAAGGCGGCUACCUG